UGGCCCAGUGGCUCAGUUGGUUAGAGCGCCGCCCUGUCACGGCGGAGGUCACGAGUUCGAGUCUCGUCUGGGUCGU
rnacentral:tRNA from 1 species